rnacentral:lncRNA from 1 species
UUUUAUUUAUUAAAGAAGUAUCUAGUAUUUUGAUAAAUGAAGAUUAUGUAAAAUAAUACAAAAUAAUCGUUAGUCUCUAAAAACUUAAGUAGCUCUGAUACCAAUAUAAAAUAAUACGGUUAGUCUCUAAGGCCCCAUUUGGUUCAGGGAUAACGAACAUUGGGAUAAAUUUUUUUAUUCCUGAAAUAGCUUGUUAUUUUGGAAUAGUAAAAAAUAAAAGUAAAAUUAUGUUUGGUUUGUAAUGCUGGUAUUUCUAGAAAUAAUCAAAUUGUGCUAGGUUAAUCUUACGGAAUAGUAGAAAAUACUGAAAAAAAAUGAUCGUUUGAAUUUGAUAUAAAAUAUAAUUCAAUAGAAAUAAUUUCUUAUAAAAAUAAUUAUUAUAAAAAUAAAUAUUGUAAAAAUAAUUCGUUAUAAUAUUUAAUAAAAAUAAUUUAUUAUAAUAUUUAGAUAUAAAUAAUAUGUAUUAAUAUAGUAUAAUUAAUUUUAUCAUAAAAUAAUUUAUUAUAAUAUAUAAUAUAUAACACAUUAUAUCUAUAUAAUUUAGUUUUAAUUAAGUUUAUAAUUUUAAUAAAGUUUGAAAUUAAAUUUUGGAAUAGCAUUAUUUCGCCAAAAUGGUGGAAUAAUAAAUUCCAAGCUAUUCCGGGACAGCCGAAAAUAGUAAGAUUUGACCUGGAUAAAAUAUUCCUGGCAAAAAGCAUCCCGUUUAGCAAAUAGCAGGAUAACUUUCGUUAUUCCCGUUUUAUUCCUGAAUCAAACGGGGCCUAAAACUUAAGCUUGUAAAGAAAAAUAAUUUUAUAUUUUUGUAUUUAACAGAUUACACCAAAUAUCCAAAAAAUACAAUAUAUUUAGCAUUCAAGUUAUUUUCUUAAAUA